GACGAACGCUGGCGGCGUGCUUAACACAUGCAAGUCGAACGGAAAGGCCCUGCUUUUGUGGGGUGCUCGAGUGGCGAACGGGUGAGUAACACGUGAGUAACCUGCCCUUGACUUUGGGAUAACUUCAGGAAACUGGGGCUAAUACCGGAUAGGAGCUCCUGCUGCAUGGUGGGGGUUGGAAAGUUUCGGCGGUUGGGGAUGGACUCGCGGCUUAUCAGCUUGUUGGUGGGGUAGUGGCUUACCAAGGCUUUGACGGGUAGCCGGCCUGAGAGGGUGACCGGCCACAUUGGGACUGAGAUACGGCCCAGCCUCCUCCGGGAGGCAGGAGUGGGGAAUAUUGCACAAUGGGCGGAAGCCUGAUGCAGCACAGCCGCGUGCGGGAUGACGGCCUUGGGGUUGUAAUCCGCUUUCGCCUGUGACGAAGCGUGAGUGACGGUAAUGGGUAAAGAAGCACCGGCUAACUACGUG
rnacentral:rRNA from 1 species